GGCGGAGUGUCCGAGUGGCCAAUGGAAGCUGACUGUAAAUCAGCCGCGUUAUCGCUUCGGGGGUUCAAAUCCCUCCUCCGCCA
rnacentral:tRNA from 1 species